GCAAGGAAUAUUGGGCAAUGGGCGAAAGCCUGACCCAGCGACACCGCGUGGGGGAAGAAGGCCCUCGGGUUGUAAACCCCUUUUAUUAGGGACGAAUAAUGACGGUACCUGAUGAAUAAGCUUCGGCUAACUACGUGCCAGCAGCCGCGGUAAUACGUAGGAAGCGAGCGUUAUCCGGAUUUAUUGGGCGUAAAGCGGGCGUAGGUGGCCUUUCAAGUCCGAUGUGAAAUCUCCUGGCUUAACUGGGAGGGUGCAUCGGAUACUGUUGGGCUAGAGUGCAGCAGAGGGAGAUGGAAUUCCCGGUGUAGUGGUGAAAUGCGUAGAUAUCGGGAGGAACACUAGUGGCGAAGGCGGUCUCCUGGGAUGCAACUGACACUGAGGCCCGAAGGCGUGGGGAGCAAACAGGAUUAGAAACCCGUGUAGUCC
rnacentral:rRNA from 1 species